GGCUGUGCCGUAACCAGUGAUCCUUGUGUUAUAAAGGGAUUACCGCACGACUCAUAAUCGUGAGGUCGGGAGAUCGAGCCUCCCCACCGCUACCA
rnacentral:tRNA from 1 species